AGACCUCUCUCUGUACUCAUCCUUGGCAGACAGCAGGCCCGAGAGGAGGAGAAGGAAGAGGAGGAGGAGGAGGAGGAGGCAGGAGCAGAUUUGCUUGGCUAAGUCAAGAACCCUUCCCCGGUUGGCAUCAGAUUUCAUCUGGCCGAGCUGACAGAGAAGUGAUUAUCAGUCUAAAGGAUACCAACUCCACCUUGGAACAAUGCCAUUACCCAGAGAAGCCAAUUCUCUUCCUGGCUCAGAAGUGGGAGGAGCUGCACUUGGGAUUCCUACUGUGGGGUGUUGAGAACCAGCUCCCAGGCUCUGCAAGAUGAAAACCAAUCCUAGAGUUAAACCAAGAUGUCAGGCCGUCUAGGGAGUGGGAAUGAGAAGGAAGCCCAAGUUAAAACAAAAAUGGCCUCGAGGCCGGCUUUCUUUCCUUACUCAAUCUUGCGACUUUCAGAAGAGCCAGCUAUGUGACCAGCAAGGGCACAUGACGUUCACUUUAUGAAUCAAAUGUCCCCCCUGGUGGCUCCAACAGGACCAGGAUGAGGCACCACAGGGCAAGGCAUCAGAGGACUGCUCAAACCCAGGGGCCGCUGUGUGGCUGACCGCAGGAAUGUGAAUGGGGUUGCCAGGUGUGUGACUUGAAAGCCAUACUGGUGCACCAAGGAUCUUCAAGGUGUGCGACAGAGUUGAGGAUGAAAGAGAAGAUGGCCCAGGAGCUGGUGGUGCACACCUUUAUUCCCAGCACUCAGAAAGCAGAAAGUUCUCUAACUGAGGUUUCUGAAAGCAAACCUGCAGACUGAUGGACUCCUUAGAACUUCCUGAUUGUGGAAGGUGAGAAUGUUGCAAAGCUUUGGCCAACAUCAUCUUGUGACAUUGUUAGUUCUCUCAAUAGCCAUUACUCACCUUCCUCUGCAUCCGACCUAAGACCUGUGGGACGAUCAGGAAAGACUUUAGAAAUGUAUUAACUUAGCCGGCCAUCAUCAACCCCAAGGGCAAGAAUGUCAUCAGAGAACAUCCGAGACCUACAACAGGAUCUCCCACUUGGCUGCAACCUCAUGUCCCAGCAAUGCUUUGAUUUGUGACUGCCUUGUGUUUGGUAACUUUAUAGGUUCAGGUCACCACAUGCAUGGUGGAACAUGCCAUUCAAGGCAAUCUGAGUCUGUGUCACUCAUAUUUGGUUUGGAAUAAAAUCUCUCUUAUCCCCUUUGG
rnacentral:lncRNA from 1 species